rnacentral:rRNA from 1 species
UAGGGAAUCUUCGGCAAUGGACGAAAGUCUGACCGAGCAACGCCGCGUGAGUGAAGAAGGUUUUCGGAUCGUAAAACUCUGUUGUUAGAGAAGAACAAGGACGUUAGUAACUGAACGUCCCCUGACGGUAUCUAACCAGAAAGCCACGGCUAACUACGUGCCAGCAGCCGCGGUAAUACGUAGGUGGCAAGCGUUGUCCGGAUUUAUUGGGCGUAAAGCGAGCGCAGGCGGUUUCUUAAGUCUGAUGUGAAAGCCCCCGGCUCAACCGGGGAGGGUCAUUGGAAACUGGGAGACUUGAGUGCAGAAGAGGAGAGUGGAAUUCCAUGUGUAGCGGUGAAAUGCGUAGAUAUAAGGGGAAACACCAGUGGCGAGGGCGGCUCUCUGGUCUGUAACUGACGCUGAGGCUCGAAAGCGUGGGGAGCAAACAGG